rnacentral:rRNA from 1 species
GAAAACUUUACAAUGCUGGGAACAGCGAUAAGGGAACCUCGAGUGCCAGGUUACAAAUCUGGCUGUCGUGAUGCCUAAAAAGCAUUAUAUAGCAAGGGCCGGGCAAGACCGGUGCCAGCCGCCGCGGUAACACCGGCGGCUCGAGUGGUAACCGUUAUUAUUGGGUCUAAAGGGUCUGUAGCCGGCCGGAUAAGUCUCUUGGGAAAUCUGGCAGCUCAACUGUCAGGCUUUCAGGGGAUACUGUCUGGCUCGAGGCCGGGAGAGGUGAGAGGUACUUCAGGGGUAGGGGUGAAAUCUUGUAAUCCUNGAAGGACCACCAGUGGCGAAGGCGUCUCACCAGAACGAC